GGCGGUGUAGCUCAGUUGGUUAGAGCGUCGGAAUCAUAAUCCGCAGGUCCGGGGUUCAAAUCCCUGCGCCGCUACCA
rnacentral:tRNA from 2 species